rnacentral:rRNA from 1 species
CUACGGGCCGCAGCAGUGGGGAAUAUUACGCAAUGGGCGAAAGCCUGACGCAGCAACGCCGCGUGAGUGAUGAAGGCCUUCGGGUCGUAAAGCUCUGUCGGGAGGGAAGAACACCUUCGGGUCUGACGGUACCUCCCGAGGAAGCACAGGCUAACUCCGUGCCAGCAGCCGCGGUAAUACGGAGUGUGCAAGCGUUGUUCGGAAUUACUGGGCGUAAAGCGCGCGUAGGCGGCUUGAUAAGUCAGAUGUGAAAUCCCUCGGCUUAACCGAGGAACUGCAUUUGAAACUGUCAGGCUUGAGUACGGGAGGGGGAAGCGGAAUUCCCAGUGUAGAGGUGAAAUUCGUAGAUAUUGGGAGGAACACCAGCGGCGAAGGCGGCUUCCUGGACCGAUACUGACGCUGAGGCGCGAAAGCGUGGGGAGCAAACAGGAUUAGAUACCCUCGUAGUC